GCACUAGUAGCUCAGAAAUAAAGAGCGUCGGUCUUGUAAACCGAAGGCCGGAGGUUAAACUCCUCCCUACUGCU
rnacentral:tRNA from 1 species